rnacentral:tRNA from 1 species
UCCCUGGUGGUCCAGUGGCUAAGACUUUGUGCUACCAAUGCAGGGGGCCUGGGUUCAAACCCUGGUCAGAGAA